rnacentral:rRNA from 1 species
AUUGAACGCUGGCGGCAGGCCUAACACAUGCAAGUCGAACGAGUGGCGGACGGGUGAGUAAUGUCUGGGAAACUGCCUGAUGGAGGGGGAUAACUACUGGAAAAGGUAGCUAAUACCGCAUACCAUCAGAUGUGCCCAGAUGGGAUUAGCUAGUAGGUGGGGUAACGGCUCACCUAGGCGACGAGCCCUAGCUGGUCUGGGAGGAUGACCAGGCACACUGGAACGGAGAAACGGUCCAGACGCCUACGGUAGGCAGCAGUGGGGAAGAGUGCACUAUGGGCGCAAGCCUGAUACAGCCAUGCCGCGUGGAUGAAGAAGGCCUUCGGGUUGUAAAGUACUUUCAGCGGGGAGGCGUUACCCGCAGAAGAAGCACCGGCUAACUCCGUGCCAGCCGCCGCGGUAAUUC